rnacentral:lncRNA from 1 species
GUUCAGCAGGGGAAGAAACAACAAUGGGGCGUUUGAGUUGAGAACUCAUGUACACGUCAUCAUCUCUAAGUCAUAUCUCUUCACCAUUUUGUAAAUUUAACCCUCCAAUUAACAAAUAAUACAAAAAUCCUGAACAAACAAAUCACAUAAUACUCACUUCAUUAAUCAUACACAAUUACAGAUCUAACAAACAACAAUUAUCAACUAACAAUCUUUAACUCUUACCACAGAUCACCUCCAAAUUCUCAUCAAAAUCCUACAAUAAACAAAAUAAUUAAAAUAAUAACACAAAAAUUCUUCUUUUACUAAAUUACAUUACUUGAAAAUUAGGAAAAGCAUAAACAAUGACGUAAGUAAAAGGUUGAGAAUAUUUACAGAAAAAGAAGAGAUCUUCAAACGAGUCCGUUAAUGGCGGUUGCUAUUUAUAUUGUGAAAAAUUC